rnacentral:rRNA from 1 species
AAGUAGAGAAUAACUUGACGAAAGUGAAGCUAAUACUCCAUGUGGUCAAUCAUUCGGUUGAUUGAUUAAAAGUAAAGAGCGUUGGGAGGGGCUUGCGGGCCAUCAGCUAGUUGGUAGGGUAAAGGCCUACCAAGGCGAAGACGGGUAGCUGGUCUGAGAGGACGAUCAGCCACAAUGGCACUGAAACACGGGCCAUACUCCUACGGGAGGCAGCAGUGAGGAAUAUUGCACAAUCGACGCAAGUCGGAUGCAGCAACGCCGCGUGGACGAUGAAGGCCUUCGGGUUGUAAAGUCCUUUUAAGAGGGACGAGGAAGGACGGUACCUCUUGAAUAAGUCUCGGCUAACUACGUGCCAGCAGCCGCGGUAACACGUAGGAGGCGAGCGUUAUCCGGAUUUAUUGGGCGUAAAGCGCAUGCAGGUGGCUAGGUAAGUCGGGUGUGAAAGCCCCGGACUUAAUCCGGGGAGGUCAUUCGAUACUGCUUGGCUUGAGAGCGGGAGAGGGAAGUGGAAUUCUCGGUGUAGUGGUGAUAUGCGUAGAUAUCGAGAGGAACACCAGUGGCGAAGGCGGCUUCCUGGCCCGUAUCUGACACUAAGAUGCGAAAGCCGUGGGUAGCAAACGGACUUAGAUACUCCGGUAGUCCACGCUGUAAACGAUGGGUACUAGGU